rnacentral:tRNA from 1 species
UAAUAAAGUAAGCUAACUAAAGCUAGUGGGUUCAUACCCCAAAUAUGAAAUUUAAAUUCCUUUAUUA